CUUAAUAUCUGGUCUCUGGCCAGGCCCCAAGUAGUAGCAUGCUAAAGCUGACUUGUACCGGCUCAGAGCAGUUUAUAAGCAUCUCUGUUCAACUUUGUGUUCAGUGACAUUGUACCAACAGCUUGAAAUAUGCUGAUGGGAAUAUGUACACCACAGAAAUUGACAAACACUACACAUCAGGGCUCCUUUUUCUUUUCUUUUUUGUAGAGCUAUUUACCAGCACACCAAAGGGUCUGGAAAAGGACUGGAAAUAAUCUUGGAAGAAACUCUUUCCUCAAAGGACUCUGGAUCACUGAGAGGCCAAGCAGUGCUGCCUCUGGGACCUGGUGACAAAGCCUGAUCCUGCAUUGCGAAGAGGAGCAUUCUGCUUGGAACAAGGCACUGUGGGACCUGAAGGGAAGAGAGUUCCGUCUAGCCCUUGAGGCUUUGCAACUUUGGGAGGGCUGGGACAUAGCAUAGCCCUGAAGGAGAAGGAGAGCUCACAGAAGCACCAGAAGCAUCAGCAGCAGUGACUACUCUUUAAUGCAACUUGCUGAAAGCAGUUAUUAAGAAGGUGGUGGGAAGAAAGGAACCCACAGGGCCCCCAGAAAUAUCUAGGGAGCCUUUUUAAGAGGGCCUGAGUUUCACAGGUGAGGACUAAUAGACAGAUUUUCUUUUAAGAGACAAUGCUCACCCAGGCUGGUAUGCAGUGACACAGUCAUAGUUCACUGCAGCCUCGAACUCCUGGCUCAAGGGAUCCUCUCACCUCGGCCUCCCAAGUAGCUGGGACUACAGGUGCAUGCCACCAUGAUCUUCUAAUCUUUAAAAUUUGUAGAGACAGAGCCCCACUAUGUUGCCUAGGCAUAUCUCAAACUACUGGCCUCAAGUGAUCCUCCUGCCUUGGCCUCCCAAAGCACUGGGAUUACAGGUGUAAGCCAGUAUAUCCAACCUAGACAGAAAAUAUUGAUUAUUCACACUCACGUGACCUAAUUUGCACCCUCUGACUUGUGAGACUAGAGAGAGUCAUCUUGGAAAAGAGGUGUGUGCUCUGAGGCUGGCUCUUUUAUUUGAACCGACAGCUUUUAGUACCAAGAGCUGGAGCUGUGAUUCUCAAACUCAGAGAGGAGAAGAAUCACUCAGUGAGCUGAUUAAAAAUACCGACUCACAGUCACCUCCAGCCCCGUCUAACGGAUUUAGCAGAUAGAAAUAAGACCCAGUAAUCUGCGUUUUAAAGAAAUGAUACAGUUGGUCCAUGGACCAGAUAUUGAGAAGCAUUGCACAGAUGGUCAGUGACUCAGGAGGGCUCGAUUUACGAUCUAUCCACUUUACGAUGGGUUUUUGGAGACGUUAGCCCCAUCGUAAUUCCAGGGGCAUGGGUGAUCCAGCUUACAUUGCCGGGUAAGGGCUAGGUUUUACUCCCCCCUCAACGGCGCCUACUGUCUUAACAGGGUCCACUUUGCUAAACACCGAGUUGGAAAAGCAGCUUCCUCUCUUUCCCAAUCUCUGAUGGUGCUGCUUCCAGGUGUAACUUCUACCUGCCCUCUGCCUUAAGGGUCCCUAGAACCCAGGAUGGCUCCAGAGAAAGUAAGCUUGUCAUCGACCCGUCACUUCCCAGGUGGUUAACGUCCACACCCUGCCCCCAGCGGCGGGGGAGCCGGGCCUACGGGCUAAAGGACGGUGUUGUAAGAAGCUGGACGAGCCCGGUUCCAGAAACCAAACAGCAGUUGUUAUCAUGCCUUUUAAAUCACGCGUAGAGGUUUCAGUUUCUUCCUCUGCAGGCCCGUAAAUAUUUGCCUUCGGGUUUCUGUGUUUUCUGCCGUUGCCAGGAGCUCCGAUCCUCCUGCGGCGGGGGCGCCCAGGUGCGCGGGUCUCUCCUGCGGGCUCAGCGGGCCGGCGCCGCGGCGUCUCCAGCAGAGCGCAGCAAAGAAGACGAAGCCUCCUGGGGCCUUUCCUCGCCGCCUGGAGCGGGGCAUCCUUCCUCCUUACGUGCAGAGACUGGGAAGCAGCUCUUUAGACACUGCAGUGACCGAGCCCGCUCCACGCCCCUUUCCCCUGAGCAGGUGCUUGACGUGGGGCAAGCUCGGCGUUGAGGUGGACCCGCGCGCCACCCGCUGGCCAACGCGCCUAAGCGACAGGAGUGCAAAGAAACGAGGCUGCUUGGCAAUUCAGCUGGUGCGGCCCUGCGGCACUUCCCUUAUUCCUUCAUAGAUGCAGUCAGAUAUUCUAGAAUUCUAGGUUAGGAAUGCUUUAACCUGGGGUCCGUGCGCUGGCUUCAGGGAAUCUGGGAGCUCUCUAAAAUGCUAUAAACAAUGUAAUAUUUUUCUGGAAAAGGGGUGCACACUUUUCAUGAGUCUGACUAAUUUUAUAUGGUCUAUGGACCAAGUGCCAGGCAAUGUGCAAGCCAUUGGUGGUAAGUAGUGAUCAAGCAGACGUGUCGCUUCUCCUCGUGGACUUUGUAGUCUUUGUGGUAGGCUGAAGAAUGCCCCCCCUCGGCCGGCCGCCCAAAAUAUGUUCACAUCCUAAUCCCUGGAACCUGUGAAUGUUACCCGUUAUGGCAAAGGGGACUUUGCAGAUCUAAUCAAGUUAAGGAUCGUGAGAUGGGGGGAUUAGCCUGGAUUAUCCUGGUGGGCCUGAUAUCACAAGGGGUCUUAUAAGAGGAACACAAAAGGAAACAGACAGAAGACAAUGUGACAACAGAAGCAGGAGAACAAAGGGACGGACAUUUUAAGAUGCCACACUGCUGACUUUGAAGAUGGGAGACUUUGAAGAUGGGGAAAGGAGGCCGUGAGCCAAAGGAUGUGGGCAGACUCUGAAAGCUUGAAAGGUCAAGGAAACAGCUUCUCCCCAGGAGCCUCGGGAAAGAAUCCCACUGCUGACACCUUGACUUUAGCCCAGUAAAACUGACUGUAGACUUCUGACCUCCAGAACUGCAAGAGAAUCAAUAUGUUUGUUGCUUUAUGCCACUAUUUUGUAAUGCUUUGUUACAGCAGCUUUAGGAAGCUAAUAUGCAUCUCAGCAGGUGUCAGACUCUAAAAGUGGUAAGAGACCACAGUCCUUUACAAUGCUGAGAUUCUCUGUAUCACUGGCCCUUCCCCUCUCCAGGAGGAGACAACCAAGAGACAGAAAGUCCAACUGACACUACAGAAGUAGAUUUACUGAACUCACCCAUGCCAUAGAGGUACGUCUACACCUGAGUCUCUUUCCUAGAGAGUUUCAGAACUAGUUAGGGAGAUAAAAUUCAAAUUACAUCUGUGGCCGGGCAUGGUGGUGCAUGCCUGCAAUCCCAACAGUUUAGGAGGCUGAAUGGGAGGAUCACUUGAGCCCAGGAACUUGAGACCAGCCUGGACAACAUAGCAAGACCCCAUCUCUACAAAAAAAAUUUUAAAAAUUAGCCAGGUUUGGUGAUAUGCACCUAUAUUCCUAGCUACUCAGGAGACUAAAACAGGAGGAUUACUUGAGGCCAUACAUUGAUGGCCAUUUGGGCUGCUUUCUACCUUUUGGCUAUUGUGAAUAAUGCUGCUAUGAGGAUGGGCAUAUAAAUAUCUCUUCCAGACACUGCUUUCAAUUCUUUUGGAUAUAUGCCUAGAAAUGGAUUUUUUUGAGGAACUCCAAUACUGUUUUCCACAGUGGCUGCACAUUUUACAUUCCCACCAACAGUGCACAGGGGUUCCAAUUUUCACCACCUCUUCACCAACUUUGUUAUUUUUCUGGUGUUUGGUUUUUUUGUUUCUUUGUUUGUUUGUUUGUUUUUGAGAUGGAGUCUCGCUCUGUCGCCCAGGCUGGAGUGCAGUAGUGUGAUCUCGGCUCACUGCAACCUCUGCCUCCUGGGUUCACAACAUUCUCCUGCCUCAGCCUCCCGAGUAGCUGGGACUACAGGUUCCCACCACCACGCUUGGCUAAUUUUUUGUUUUUUAGUAGAGACGGGGUUUCACUGUGUUAGCCAGGAUGGUCUCGAUCUCCUGACCUCGUGAUCCACCCGCCUAGGCCUCCCAAAGUGCUGGGAUUACAGGCGUGAGCCACCGCACUCUGGUGUUUGUUUUAUAGUAAGCACUCUAAUGGGUGUGAGAUGAUACCUCACAGAGAUUCUGAUUUGCAUUUCCCUAAUCAUUAGUGAUGUGGAGCAUCUUUUCAUGUGCUUAUUGGACAUUUACAUAUUUUCUUUGGAAAAACAUUUAUUCAAGUCCUUUGCUCAUUUUUUAAAUCAACUUAUUUGUGUUUGUUGUUGAUUUUCAAGUAAGUCUUUUAAGUCAGUUUUUUUGGGGGGGUAAGAUUUAUAUAAAAUAAAAUUCACUAUAUAAAAUGAAUUUCACUAUUUUAAGUGUAAGAUUUUAAGUGUAUGAUAGGUUUUGACAAAUGUAUGCAAUCAUAUAACCAACACCACAAUCAAAAUACAGAACAUUUUCAUCACCCCAAAAAUCUCUCUCAGGCCCCUGUGCUGUUAAACUCCUCUUCCUUCAUCAGCCCUGACAACCACUAAUCUCCCCUAUAGUUUUACCUUUCCCAAAUGUCUUAUAAAUGAAAUCAUACCCUAUGUAUCCUUCUAUGUCUGGCUUUCUUCCACUUAAAAUAAUGCCUUUGAGAUUCAUCCAUGUUGUUGUAUGUGUCAGUAAUUCAUUCAUUUUUAUCAGUGAGUGGUAUUCCAGUGUAUGGAUAUACUACAAUUUGUUUAUUAAUUCACCAGUUUAUGGACAUUAGAUUGUAAAUAAAGGUGCCAUAAACAUUUGCAUACAGGUCUUCCUUUCUCUUGAAUGAAUACCUAGGAGUCAGAUUGCUGGGUUGUAUGGUAAGUGUAUGUUUAAUUUUAUAAAAGCUGCCAAACUGCCAGGUGCAGUGGCUCACGCCUGUAAUCUCAGCACUUUGGGAGGCCAAGGCAGGCGGAUCACCUGACUUCAGGAGUUCUAGACCAACCUGGCCAACAUGGUGAAACCCCGUCUCUACUAAAAAUACAAAAAAAUUAGCCAGGCAUGGUGGCAGGUGCCUGUAAUCCCAGCUACUUGGGAGGCUGGGGCAGGAGAAUCACUUGAACCUGGGAGGUGGAAGUUGCAGUGAGCCCAGAUCAUGUCACUGCACUCCAGCCUGGGCAACAGAGCCAGACUCCAUCUUAAAAACAAAACAAAACAAAAAAAACCCUGCCAAACUGUUUUCCAAAGUUGCUGUGCUAUUUCAUGUUUCUCCAAACAAUGCAUGAGAUUUCUGGCUGCUCCACAUCCUUAGUAACACCUAGUAUAUUAUUCUGUUUCAUUUUUAGUCAUUCUAAUUGGUUUGUAGUGCUCUCUUGUGGCUUUAAUUUGUAUUUCCCUAAAGCCUAAUAAUGUUGAACAUCUUUUUAUGUGCUUAUUUGCCCGCUGUACAUCUUUGGUGAUGUGUCUGUUUAAAUCUUUUGCUCAUUUUUAUUGGCAAUUUUGCUCUUCUUAUUGAGAUGUAAGUUAUUUAUUUACAUUAUGUGUAAUUCUUUUAACGUAUAUAUGCUUUGCAAAUAUUUUCUCCCAGUCUUUUCGUUUCUCCUGUCUUUUCAUUUCUUUAAUAGUGUCUUCUGAAAAGCAGGCAUAUUUAAUUUCAAUGAAGUGCACACUUUUUAUUGUCCUAUAAGUAAUUUUUUUAUUUAAAAAGAAUGCAGGCUGGGUGUGGUGGCUCACGCCUAUAAUCCUAACACUUCAGGAGGCCAAGGUGGGAGGAUUGCUUGAGUCCAGGAGUUUGAGAUUAGCCUAGGCAAUGUAGGGAGACUCUGUCUCUAUAAAAAAUUUAAAAAUUAGCCUGGCAUAGUGGUGCGCACCUGUAGUCCCAGCUACUUGGGAGGCUGAGUCCAGAUAAUUGCUUGAGCCCAGGAGUUGGGGGCUGUAGUGAGCCAUGAUUGUGCCACUGCAUUCCAGCCUGGCUGACAGAGCCAGACCCUGUCCAAAAAAAAAGGAAAGCAAAAAACCCUGCUUGCUUGAUGAAGCUUGUGGGGAGAAACAGUUGGUCUUUCAGUUAAGGAAUGCAGAGUAAGGAGAAAUUAGAGUGAGCCUGCAUUGGACCAAACGGAGAGGAGAGGAGACAAUUGUUUUAGGUUCAAACAACUUCCAAGCCCUCAUUGUCUCUCUCUGCCUCAUAAGCGGGGGAAAGUGGAGCUCCCCCACAUAAUCAAUUAAUGGCGUGAAUAAAUGUAUAAUUGCAGACAAGAGUAAGUAUUACAAAGGAGAGAUGCACAGUGCUCUGAGGGCUGAUCACCAAGUCCCAGGCCUAGUUGGAGGUGGGGAGGGAGGAGAUGUUCAGGGGUGACUUUCCUGAGGGAAUGGAGCUUGAGCUGAGCUUUUUUAUUUUUAUUGUUUUAGAGAUGGGGGUCCCACUAUGUUGCCCAGGCUGGCCUUGAACUCCUGGGCUCAAGCAGUUCUCCUGCCUCAGCCUCCCAAGUAGCUGCUACUAUAGGUGUGCACCAUUAUGCCUGGAUUGAGCUGAGCUUUAGAGGUGGGGUGGGAAGGGAGCAUUGCAGUCAGAGGAAACAAUUCAGGCAGUGGCUUUUGCCGGAGGGUGCUUUCUGAAAGGCCAGUGUGGAUGGUACUGAUUGAAGGAGAGAGAGAGAGUCAUAAGGAGGCUGGGAAGGUAGGCAGAUCUUGAGAGUUUUGGGUGUAUUUUUGUCUUCAUCCUAAGAAAUAGGGAGGAAAAUUUCCAGUUUUGCAGGUGAUGUGAUCCAGGUGGGCAUUUUGGAAAGCUCAAUCUGGUUGGGGGUGGAGGGAUGAUGGAUGAGAGAGGGAGUUUGUGCUGCAUUAAAGUUAAUUUAUCCUCCUCACUACGGUGGGUGUAAUUUUUUUUUAAUGAGAACAAGUCUUGACAAUGAUGUGGAGAAAUUAGAAUCCUUGCACACUGCUGAUGGGGAUGUAAAAUGGCAAAUCCACUACAAAAAAACAUUUUGGCAGUUCUUCAAUCAGUUAAACAUAGAAUAAGCAUUUGACCCAGCAAUUCCACUCCUAGGUAUAUCCCCAAAGGAACUGCAAACAGGUUACUCAAAAACUUACACACAAAAGUUCAUAGCAUCUGUAUUCAUAGUAGCCAAAAGGUAGAAACAAUUCAAAUGUCCAUCAACUGAUAAAGGGGUUUUUUAAAUGAGGUAUAUCCAUACAAUGGAAUAUUAUUUAGCCAUAAAACAGAAAGAAGUACUGAUGUAUGCCACAACAUAAACAAAUCUUGAAAGAAGAAGCCAAACACAAAAGCCUACAUGUUGUAGGAUCCCAUUUAUGUGAAAUAUCCAGAUUAAAUCUAUAAAAACAGAAAGCAAAUGAGUGGUUGCCACAGCGGGGGAAAGGGAGAAAUGAGGAAUGACUUAAUAGGUACAGAAUUUAUUUUUGGAGUGAUAAAAAUGUUCUGGGACUUGGUAAUGGUGAUGGUUGCACAACAUUAUGAAUGUAUUAUGUGUUACUAAUAGGAAAUUAUAUGUUAUAUGUAUUUUACUGCACUAAAAAAUUUAAGUUAUUUUGUCCUCACCUCCCCCUUGGGACCCUACUUCCCUCAUCUAUGCAAGAAGGAAGUUGAGCUCACUGUGCCCUUCAGGUUCUAACUUUCUAAGACACCAUAAACUGCCCAGGUAGUGUACUUUGCACUCUGCCUACCUAUAGGAUAACUUAAGUAGAGUACCAAAUAGGCAACGAUAAUACUAAACCACAAAAUUAAAAAGUUACUCUCUUUUCAGUCUCUUUUACUCUUUCUGAUUGUGUCAAGUUGAAAGUCUUGCUUUGGUGCUAGUGCAAAGCAGGUUCACUGUGCACCAAUUGCUUGCCAAAUUGAGAUAGAAAUUCACACACGCAACCCAUUACAUGAAAUGGGCUUAUUACUCACAGAUAGGCAGCAAGGGACAACAGAA
rnacentral:lncRNA from 1 species